UUCUUUUCGUUUCUUUUCUUGUGGCACCAUCAAAAUUUUGUUUGGAUUGAAGAAAUUUUGACAGCCAUGGCAGUGUCAAAAUCUAUCAAAAUUUCUUCCAUGCAAACAAAAAUUUUAUCUUCCUUUCGCCAUGGAUUUCCAUACCCUGUCAAGGAGAGAGCUCCAAGCCCUAAGAGAAAUAAGAUUCCGGCCAAUAUCACCAAUGUCGCCAUGCCGACGCUCUUGCUGCUUGAUCUUCAAUCUGCUGAAGGAAUCGAGGAUGUUUUUUAUACGGUGAUAGAUCUGGAGUACCUGAAUCGUUUAUUGAUUCUGUAGUUUAAUCUUGUGAUUUUGAAGCGUCUUAGUUAGGCUUAAGAGUAAGGAGAUAAUUCAUUUUUCUUGUUUCAGCUAGAAAUUACCUUGAUGCCUUAAUUGUUAUGUUUUUUAGGGGUGUUUGGUUAUUUAGGCUUGAGUAAAAACUAGUAAAAGGGAAAUAUUUGAUUGUCCAACAAGUAAUAAGCUUCUGCUCAAUCAUUCAACCAUCUUUGUUGUAAAGGAAGAAGCUUCUCUCCUCUGGCAAUCAAAGUCGUCCCUUGUUAACAGCACCAUAUGCUAAUUUGAAUAUGAAAUGCUUCUCUGAAUAUGAAAAGUGAAUGAAGCUUCCAAAGAUGAUGAUUCUGUUGAGAUUCUGCUUAGGAAAUCAAAAAUUGUUGCCGUAAAAAACCUCGCCAGCUCCUCCCCUCUCAGGUUUUUCUGUUCUUUUUCUUUAAUAUUUUGGAAUUUUGCCUUUGUGAUUUUUCUAUAUACUAUUGCUUUUUUGCUUUAUCAUUUAUUUUGAUU